GAGAAGGUGCCAGAGCGGUCAAUUGGAGCUGAUUGUAAAUCCGCGGACGAAAGUCUUCGUAGGUUCGAAUCCUACUCUUCUCA
rnacentral:tRNA from 1 species